rnacentral:rRNA from 1 species
AACGAACGCUGGCGGCAUGCCUAACACAUGCAAGUCGAACGAGACCUUCGGGUCUAGUGGCGCACGGGUGCGUAACGCGUGGGAACCUGCCCUUAGGUUCGGAAUAACUCCCCGAAAGGGGUGCUAAUACCGGAUAAUGUCUUCGGACCAAAGAUUUAUCGCCUUUGGAUGGGCCCGCGUUGGAUUAGCUAGUUGGUAGGGUAAAAGCCUACUAAGGCGACGAUCCAUAGCUGGUCUGAGAGGAUGAUCAGCCACACUGGGACUGAGACACGGCCCAGACUCCUACGGGAGGCAGCAGUGGGGAAUAUUGGACAAUGGGCGAAAGCCUGAUCCAGCAAUGCCGCGUGAGUGAUGAAGUCCUUAGGGUUGUAAAGCUCUUUUAACCGGGAUGAUAAUGACAGUACCGGGAGAAUAAGCCCCGGCUAACUCCGUG